AUAGCUCACUAGUCGAGUGACCCUGCGCCGAAAAUGUACCGGGGCUAAAUAGUUUACCGAAGCUGUGGAGUGCACCAUCAGGUGCAUUGGUAGGAGAGCGUUCUAAGGGCGUUGAAGGCAGAUCGUGAGGACUGCUGGAGCGCUUAGAAGUGAGAAUGCCGGUAUGAGUAGCGAAAGACAGGUGAGAAUCCUGUCCACCGAAUGACUAAGGUUUCCUGGGGAAGGCUCGUCCGCCCAGGGUUAGUCGGGACCUAAGCCGAGGCCGACAGGCGUAGGCGAUGGACAACAGGUUGAUAUUCCUGUACCCGUUGUUUUUGUUUGAGCAAUGGAGGGACGCAGGAGGCUAAGAAGUGCAGACUGAUGGAUAUGUCUGUUCAAGCAGUAAGUCUUGGUAGGAGUCAAAUGCUUCUACCUAUACGGACAAGCUGUGAUGAGGAGGGAAAUAAUAGUACCGAAGCUUCUGAUGUCACACUGCCAAGAAAAGCUUCUAGUGAGAAAACAACGGCCCGUACCGCAAACCGACACAGGUAGUCGAGGAGAGAAUCCUAAGGUGAGCGAGAGAACUCUCGUUAAGGAACUCGGCAAAAUGACCCCGUAACUUCGGGAGAAGGGGUGCUGCU
rnacentral:rRNA from 1 species